rnacentral:rRNA from 1 species
GGCGUGCCUAAUACAUGCAAGUCGAACGAGGUCUCCCUCGGUGGCAACACCUUGGGGGUACCUAGUGGCGAACGGGUGAGUAACACGUGAGGAACCUGCCCCGACGACCGGGAUAACCAGAGGAAACUCUGGCUAAUACCGGAUGCCCUCACCGGAUCGCAUGGUCUGGUGAGGAAAUGGAUGCCGCUUCGGGAGGGCCUCGCGGCCUAUCAGCUUGUUGGUGGGGUAACGGCCCACAAAGGCGUCGACGGGUAGCUGGUCUGAGAGGACGAUCAGCCACACUGGGACUGAGACACGGCCCAGACUCCUACGGGAGGCAGCAGUGGGGAAUAUUGCACAAUGGGCGAAAGCCUGAUGCAGCGACGCCGCGUGAGGGAUGACGGCCUUCGGGUUGUAAACCUCUUUCAGCAGGGAAGAAGCGCAAGUGACGGUACCUGCAGAAGAAGCACCGGCUAACUACGUGCCAGCAGCCGCAGUAACAC